rnacentral:rRNA from 1 species
GCGCCUACGGGACGCAGCAGUGGGGGAUAUUGCACAAUGGGGGGAACCCUGAUGCAGCGACGCCGCGUGGGUGAAGGAGCGUUUCGGCGCGUAAAGCCCUAUCGGCAGGGAAGAAGAUGACGGUACCUGACCAAGAAGCCCCGGCUAACUACGUGCCAGCAGCCGCGGUAAUACGUAGGGGGCAAGCGUUAUCCGGAUUUACUGGGUGUAAAGGGAGCGUAAACGGUGCAGCAAGUCUGAUGUGAAAGGUCGGGGCCCAACCCCGGGACUGCAUUGGAAACUGUUGAACUGGAGUACAGGAGAGG